ACCUACCUUUUUCUAGAANAUAGCCUGAGGAAACUCGGAUUAAUAUUCUAUAAUACAGUAUUUUCGCAUGAAAAUAUUAUUAAAGCAGAAAUGUGGAAAAAGAUGGGCAUGCGCCCGAUUAGUUAGUUGGUGGGGUAAAGGCCUACCAAGACGAUGAUCGGUAGGGGGCCUGAGAGGGUGAUCCCCCACACUGGUACUGAGAUACGGACCAGACUCCUACGGGAGGCAGCAGUGAGGAAUAUUGGUCAAUGGAGGAAACUCUGAACCAGCCACGCCGCGUGCAGGAMGAAUGCCUUAUGGGUUGUAAACUGCUUUUGUUUAGGAAUAAAAAUUUCUACGUGAUAGAAAUUGUGAAGGUACUAAACGAAUAAGUGUCGGCAAACUCCGUGCCAGCAGCCGCGGUAAUACGGAGGACACAAGCGUUAUCCGGAUUUAUUGGGUUUAAAGAGUGCGUAGGCGGUUUAUUAAGUCAGUAGUGAAAUGUUACAGCUUAACUGUUAAAAUGGCUAAUGAUACUGAUAGACUUGAGUGAGAUUGGAGUAAUUGGAAUGUGUGGUGUAGCGGUGAAAUGCAUAGAGAUCACACAGAACACCGAUCGCGAAAGCAGGUUACUAAAUCUAUACUGACGCUGAGGCACGAAAGCGUGGGGAGCAAACAGGAUUAGAUACCCUGGUAGUCCACGCCGUACACGAUGAUCACUAGUCGUUGGAUUUUAUUAUUCAGUGGCUAAGCGAAAGUGAUAAGUGAUCCACCUGGGGAGUACGAUCGCAAGGUUGAAACUCAAAGGAAUUGACGGGGGCCCGCACAAGCGGUGGAGCAUGUGGUUUAAUUCGAUGAUACGCGAGGAACCUUACCAAGGUUUAAAUGUACUACGAAUAAGCUAGAAAUAGUUUAGUCUUCGGACGGAGUACAAGAUGCUGCAUGGUUGUCGUCAGCUCGUGCCGUGAGGUGUUGGGUUAAGUCCCUCAACGAGCGCAACCCUCAUUGUUAGUUGCCAACGAAUAAUGUCGGGGACUCUAGCAAGACUGCCGACCUAGGUCGAGAGGAAGGUGGGGACGACGUCAAAUCAUCACGGCUCUUAUAUCUUGGGCUACACACGUGCUACAAUGGUCGGUACAAAGGGUUGCUA
rnacentral:rRNA from 1 species